AGGGUUUGAUUAUGGCUCAGAUUGAACGCUGGCGGCAUGCCUAACACAUGCAAGUCGAACGGUAACAGGCGGAGCUUGCUCUGCGCUGACGAGUGGCGGACGGGUGAGUAAUGCUUAGGAAUCUGCCCAGUAGCGGGGGACAACAGUCGGAAACGGUUGCCAAUACCGCAUACGCCCUACGGGGGAAAGCAGGGGAUCUUCGGACCUUGCACUAUUGGAUGAGCCUAAGUCAGAUUAGCUUGUUGGUGGGGUAAAAGCCUACCAAGGCGACGAACUGUAGCUGGUCUGAGAGGACGAUCAGCCACACUGGAACUGAGACACGGUCCAGACUCCUACGGGAGGCAGCAGUGGGGAAUAUUGCACAAUGGGCGCAAGCCUGAUGCAGCA
rnacentral:rRNA from 1 species